AUUGAACGCUGGCGGCAGGCCUAACACAUGCAAGUCGAACGGUAACAGGAAGAAGCUUGCUUCUUUGCUGACGAGUGGCGGACGGGUGAGUAAUGUCUGGGAAACUGCCUGAUGGAGGGGGAUAACUACUGGAAACGGUAGCUAAUACCGCAUAAUGUCGCAAGACCAAAGAGGGGGACCUUCGGGCCUCUUGCCUUCGGAUGUGCCCAGAUGGGAUUAGCUAGUAGGUGGGGUAACGGCUCACCUAGGCGACGAUCCCUAGCUGGUCUGAGAGGAUGACCAGCCACACUGGAACUGAGACACGGUCCAGACUCCUACGGGAGGCAGCAGUGGGGAAUAUUGCACAAUGGGCGCAAGCCUGAUGCAGCUAUGCCGCGUGUAUGAAGAAGGCCUUCGGGUUGUAAAGUACUUUCAGCGGGGAGGAAGGGAGUAAAGUUAAUACCUUUGCUCAUUGACGUUACCCGCAGAAGAAGCACCGGCUAACUCCGUG
rnacentral:rRNA from 1 species